UAUCGGUAUGGGAUGGGGUCGCGUCCUAUCAGCUUGAUGGCGGGGUAACGGCCCACCAUGGCUUCGACGGGUAGCCGGCCUGAGAGGGCGACCGGCCACAUUGGGACUGAGAUACGGCCCAGACUCCUACGGGAGGCAGCAGUGGGGAAUAUUGCACAAUGGGCGCAAGCCUGAUGCAGCGACGCCGCGUGCGGGAUGACGGCCUUCGGGUUGUAAACCGCUUUUGACUGGGAGCAAGCCCUUCGGGGUGAGUGUACCUUUCGAAUAAGCACCGGCUAACUACGUGCCAGCAGCCGCGGUAAUACGUAGGGUGCAAGCGUUAUCCGGAAUUAUUGGGCGUAAAGGGCUCGUAGGCGGUUCGUCGCGCCCGGUGUGAAAGUCCAUCGCUUAACGGUGGAUCCGCGCCGGGUACGGGCGGG
rnacentral:rRNA from 1 species